rnacentral:rRNA from 1 species
CUACGGGGCGCUGCAGUGGAGAAUAUUGCACAAUGGAGGAAACUCUGAUGCAGCAACGCCGCGUGGAGGAUGACACUUUUCGGAGCGUAAACUCCUUUUAUAUAGGAAGAUAAUGACGGUACUAUAUGAAUAAGCACCAGCUAACUCCGUGCCAGCAGCCGCGGUAAUACGGAGGGUGCAAGCGUUACUCGGAAUCACUGGGCGUAAAGAGCGUGUAGGCGGAUUAAUAAGUCAGAUGUGAAAGCCAAUGGCUCAACCAUUGAACUGCAUUUGAAACUGUUAAUCUAGAAUAUGGGAGAGGUAGAUGGAAUUUCUGGUGUAGGGGUAAAAUCCGUAGAGAUCAGAAGGAAUACCGAUUGCGAAGGCGAUCUACUGGAACAUUAUUGACGCUGAGACGCGAAAGCGUGGGGAGCAAACAGGAUUAGAUACCCCCGUAGUC